rnacentral:rRNA from 1 species
GACGAACGCUGGCGGCGUGCCUAAUACAUGCAAGUCGAACGAGAGCGACCGGUGCUUGCACUGGUCAAUCUAGUGGCGAACGGGUGAGUAACACGUGGGUAACCUGCCCAUCAGAGGGGGAUAACAUCCGGAAACGGAUGCUAAAACCGCAUAGGUCUUCGAGCCGCAUGGCUUGAAGAGGAAAAGAGGCGCAAGCUUCUGCUGAUGGAUGGACCCGCGGUGCAUUAGCUAGUUGGUGAGGUAACGGCUCACCAAGGCCGUGAUGCAUAGCCGACCUGAGAGGGUGAUCGGCCACAUUGGGACUGAGACACGGCCCAAACUCCUACGGGAGGCAGCAGUAGGGAAUCUUCCGCAAUGGACGCAAGUCUGACGGAGCGACGCCGCGUGAGUGAAGAAGGUGUUCGGAUCGUAAAACUCUGUUGUUAGAGAAGAACAAGUGCUAGAGUAACUGUUAGCGCCUUGACGGUAUCUAACCAGAAAGCCACGGCUAACUACGUG